GACGAACGCUGGCGGCGUGCUUAACACAUGCAAGUCGAACGGAAAGGCCCUGCUUUUGUGGGGUGCUCGAGUGCCGAACGGGUGAGUAACACGUGAGUAACCUGCCCUUGACUUUGGGAUAACUUCAGGAAACUGGGGCUAAUACCGGAUAGGAGCUACUGCUGCAUGGUGGGGGUUGGAAAGUUUCGGCGGUUGGGGAUGGACUCGCGGCUUAUCAGCUGGUUGGUGGGGUAGUGGCUUACCAAGGUUUUGACGGGAAGCCGGCCUGGGAGAGUGACCGGGCACAUGGGGCCUGGGGUAGGGCCCAGAGGCAUACGGGAGGCAGCGGCGGAGAAUAUUGCGCAAUAGGCGGAGGCGGGAUGCAACGACGUCGCGUGCGGGAUGCCGGCUUUCGGGGGGUAAACCGCUUUCGACUGUGACGAAGCGUGAGUGACGGUAAUGAGUAAAGAAGCACCGGCUAACUACGU
rnacentral:rRNA from 1 species